rnacentral:rRNA from 2 species
GGAGGUAGUGACAAUAAAUCACAAUGCGGAACAUCUGUUUUGCAAUUGGAUUGAGAACAACGCACAACACUUAUCGAUAAACAAUUGGAGGGCAAGUCUGGUGCCAGCAGCCGCGGUAAUUCCAGCUCCAAUAGCGUAUAUUAACGUUGUUGCAGUUAAAAAGCUCGUAGUUGAAGUGAAGUGUGGAAGUUUGGCAUUUUCGUUUGAAUUUGCUUCUCUUCUAUACUCUUUCCAAAUAGUUUGCAUGGGUAUUCAUUUAUCUGUGUAUUGCAUUUGGUCAUUUACUGUGAGAAAAUUAGAGUGUUCAAAGCAUACGUUUGUUUGAAUACAUUAGCAUGGAAUAAUUCGAAAAGGCUUUCAUGUUCGAUUUGAUUGGUUUGUUCGUGAAGGCAAGAUUAAAAGGGACAGUUGGGGGUAUUCAUAUUCAAUAGUCAGAGGUGAAAUUCUCGGAUUUAUGGAAGAUGAACAAGUGCGAAAGCA